GUCCCUUUCUUCUUGCUACAGCAUAAUUUACUAAGAGCAGCCAUGGUUAGGGUUUGGCCAAGCUUCCAAGCUUAAUAAUCAAGGAAAUUGAGAUUUGGGCUUAAAUCGGGAAAAUACAAGGUUAUGGACUAGAAUAGUAAAUUGCCAUUUCUGGAUCCGAGUGUUGUCAGGUGGUUGGAGAUCGUCGGAGGCAGCAUCACACUAUCAAGCCAACACCUUGAUAGUAUAAACACAUAUGCUAGAAUUAUUUAGUGAGUGGUAUGUAUAAACACCAAAUUUUGACUGAUGGGCUACUUUGCUUACAUAUCCAAUAAAUUUUUACCGACCUUCCUUUAA